rnacentral:rRNA from 1 species
UACGUAGGGGGUAAGCGUUGUCCGGAAUUAUUGGGCGUAAAGAGCGUGUAGGCGGUCCGGUAAGUCAGCUGUGAAAGUCAAGGGCUCAACCCUUGAAUGCCGGUUGAUACUGUCGGGCUGGAGUCCGGAAGAGGCGAGUGGAAUUCCCGGUGUAGCGGUGAAAUGCGCAGAUAUCGGGAGGAACACCAAUGGCGAAGGCAGCUCGCUGGGACGGUACUGACGCUGAGACGCGAAAGCGUGGGGAGCAAACAGG